UGGGGAAUAUUGCACAAUGGGCGCAAGCCUGAUGCAGCCAUGCCGCGUGUAUGAAGAAGGCCUUCGGGUUGUAAAGUACUUUCAGCGGGGAGGAAGGGAGUAAAGUUAAUACCUUUGCUCAUUGACGUUACCCGCAGAAGAAGCACCGGCUAACUCCGUGCCAGCAGCCGCGGUAAUACGGAGGGUGCAAGCGUUAAUCGGAAUUACUGGGCGUAAAGCGCACGCAGGCGGUUUGUUAAGUCAGAUGUGAAAUCCCCGGGCUCAACCUGGGAACUGCAUCUGAUACUGGCAAGCUUGAGUCUCGUAGAGGGGGGUAGAAUUCCAGGUGUAGCGGUGAAAUGCGUAGAGAUCAGGAGGAAUACCGGUGGCGAAGGCGGCCCCCUGGACGAAGACUGACGCUCAGGUGCGAAAGCGUGGGGAGCAAACAGG
rnacentral:rRNA from 1 species